CCUACGGGAGGCAGCAGUGAGGAAUAUUGGUCAAUGGUCGGGAGACUGAACCAGCCAAGCCGCGUGAGGGAGGAAGGUACAGAGUAUCGUAAACCUCUUUUGUCAGGGAACAAAGGCGGGGACGUGUCCCCGGAUGAGUGUACCUGAAGAAAAAGCAUCGGCUAACUCCGUGCCAGCAGCCGCGGUAAUACGGAGGAUGCGAGCGUUAUCCGGAUUUAUGGGGUUUAAGGGGUGGGCAGGCGGUCUGUUAAGUCAGCGGUCAAAGCCCGGGGCUCAACCCCGGCCCGCCGUUGAAACUGGGAGUCUCGAGUUGGAGAGAAGUAUGCGGAAUGCGCGGUGUAGCGGUGAAAUGCAUAGAUAUCGCGCAGAACUCCGAUUGCGAAGGCAGCAUGCCGGCUCCACACUGACGCUGAGGCACGAAGGCGUGGGUAUCGAACAGGAUUAGAUACCCUUGUAGUC
rnacentral:rRNA from 1 species